GACGAACGCUGGCGGCGUGCUUAACACAUGCAAGUCGAACGGAAAGGCCCUGCUUGUGUGCUGUGCUGGAGUGGCGAACGGGUGAGUAACACGUGAGUAACCUGCCCUUGUCUUUGGUGUGAGUUCAGGAAACUGGGGCUACUACCGUAUAGGAUCUCCUGCUGCGUGGUGGGCGUUGGAAAGUCUCGGCGGUUGGGGAUGGAUGGGCGGCUUAUCAGCUUGUUGGUGGGGUAGUGGCUUACCAAGGCAUUGACGGGUAGCCGGCCUGAGAGGGUGACCGGCGUCAUUGGGACUACGAGACGGCGCAGACGCCAAUGGUAGGCAGCAGGGGGAAAUAUGGUACAAUGGGCGCAAGCCUGAGGAAGCAACGCCGGGUUUGUGAAGACGGUUUGCGGGGAGAAAACAGCUUUAGCUUGUGACGAAGCGGUAGUGACGGUAAUGGGUAAAGAAGCACCGGCUAACUACGUG
rnacentral:rRNA from 1 species